GCUUUGGAAGCUCAGUUGGUACAGCAUUGGAUUUGUAAUCCAAGGGUCAUUGAUUCAAUACCCAUUCAGGUCA